rnacentral:tRNA from 1 species
AGCCUUGAGGUGUUUAACAUACAGGAUUGCAAAUCCUGAGUAGCAGGUUAGCGCCUGCCGGGGCUU